AUGGCCGCCUCGCUACCACGCCUCUCCCUCCCGCCGACGGCCGCUCUCCCUGCCGUCGCCUCCUCUCGCUACCGCCCCGACCUCGCCCCCGUCCCCAACCGCCGCCGCCUCGGCCUCCGUCUCCACCGCUCGCCGGUGGCACCUGCGGCUGCCGCGAGCUCGCCGUCCGGUCCGUAUUCUUCACCGGAACCAGGGUCGGGCAUCGGUGGCGUCGCCAUCUUCUCCGCGGCCACCGGCGAGCCCGUCCUGAUCAGGGAUCUGUGGGACCAGAACGAGGGAAUGGCUGUCGUGGCGUUGCUAAGGCAUUUCGGAUGUCCUUGCUGCUGGGAAUUGGCCUUGACGCUGAAGGACGCGAAAGAAAGAUUUGAUUCUGCUGGCGUCAAACUAAUUGCUGUUGGUGUUGGCACUCCUGAUAAAGCCCGUAUUCUUGCUGAGCGUUUGCCCUUUCCAUUGGAUUACCUCUACGCUGAUCCUGAGCGCAAGGCUUAUGAUCUCUUGGGCCUAUAUUUUGGUGUUGGUCGCACAUUCUUCAACCCAGCCAGUGUGAAAGUAUUUUCUCGGUUUGAUUCCCUCAAGGAGGCGACAAAGAACUAUACAAUCGAAGCCACCCCAGAUGACAGGCCAAGUGUCCUGCAACAGGGUGGAAUGUUCGUGUUCAAAGGGAAAGAACUGUUAUAUGCAAGGAAGGAUGAGGGCACAGGUGAUCAUGCACCAUUAGAUGAUGUCCUGAACAUCUGCUGUAAAGUUCCAGUAGCCUGA
rnacentral:rRNA from 1 species